CUCCCCGCCCGCCUCCCCUCCUCUAGUUGUACCUCCGGGGCCGCGCCUGCGUACGCCAAUCGAUAGUGUGGGGAUGGGAUGAAAGAUUAGGUCAUCAAAAACCUUGACUUUACCGAUAUUAACCGGGAAAAGUGCGCGCCGGGUUCGCGAUCCGGGUUCGGGGUUUCGGAAACCGCGGAUAAACCCCGCGUCCCCCCAGCUGUUGGCUUGGAAGAGGUCGGAAAGUCGCCGGAGACGCGCGUUGGCGACGAUGGACAGAUGUAAACAUAACCUCACUUCCGAAGAAGCAUACAGGUGCCGAGUUUUACGGGCUUUUAAUUGAAAUUUUCGGUGCACAAAGGAAACCGAUCAGCGAGUUUUUUAAUGACAUCUUUGAAUGGGCAAAUGACAUCCCCCUGCCAGCCGAAGACUACUUCAAUAGUUCCAACGUAACAGAUAAAAAAUUAGGUCGCUCCGUUCGGUGUCCGUGACGGCGUCCUCGGCCGGCGCAAGUCGCCCCCCUCCUCUUCCGGGACCAGCAGGGCCAGCAGGGCCUGCACGGCCAGCACCACGAUGACGGCCGCGCCGCACUCGUGCGCGCCGCCCAUCCCGCCGGCACACUCGCACUCGCACGCGCCGGUGCCGGUGGAGGGCGCGGCCGCCUUCAUGCAGCACUCGUGCUGGAUGUGCGGCAAGAGCUCGGCCACGCACCGCGACAACGUGACGCACAUGAUGACCCACCUCAACGACCACCAGCCCUACCUGUGCAUGAUGUGCGGCCAGCGCUUCCCGCACGGCCACCUCAUGACGCAGCACGUCGCGGCGCACGAGCUG